rnacentral:misc_RNA from 1 species
AGCAGCCGCGGUAAUUCCAGCUCCAAUAGCGUAUAUUAAAGUUGUUGCAGUUAAAAGCUCGUAGUUGAAUUUCGGGAUCAAAGGAUCGGUCAUGCCUUGGUAUGUACUGGUUUUAUUGGUUCUCACCUUCUAAAGAACCAUAAUGUCAUUCAUUUGAUGUUAUGGGGAAUUAGGACUGUUACCUUGAAAAAUUAGAGUGUUUAAAGCAGGCUUACGCUUGAAUACAUUAGCAUGGAAUAAUGAAAUAGGACAUCAGAUUCUAUUUUGUUGGUUUCUAGGAUCGAUGUAAUGAUUAAUAGGGAUAGUUGGGGGCAUUAGUAUUCAAUUGUCAGAGGUGAAAUUCUUGGAUUUAUUGAAGACUAACUACUGCGAAAGCAUUUGCCGAGGAUGUUUUCAUUAAUCAAGAACGAAAGUUAGGGAUCGAAGACGAUCAGAUACCGUCGUAGUCUUGACCAUAAACUAUGCCGACUAGGGAUCGGAUGAUGUUAAUUUUAUAAUGUA